UCUUACAGAUGAGCAAAGAAAGUGGUUUCUUGAGAUGGAAACUACUCCUGGCAAAGGUGUUGUGGA
rnacentral:pre_miRNA from 1 species